AUACAGUCAAUUUAGCUGACUUUUUCUUGGCCUAUGGGGCUGGGUGGGCAGUGGCUGCCAGCAGCAAGCAGCCUCUUUGUGUCCACAGCCAGAGACUUACCCGGGUUCUUCCAGGGGAUCUUUAAAAUAGUC